rnacentral:tRNA from 1 species
ACCCCCGUGCCGCAAUGGAUUAGCGCGUUGGACUUCUAAUUCAAAGGUUGUGGGUUCGAGUCCCACCGGAGGUG